GACGAACGCUGGCGGCGCGCCUAACACAUGCAAGUCGAGCGAGAACCGGGACUUCGGUCCCGGGGACAGCGGCGAACGGGUGAGUAACACGUGGAUAACCUGCCCUCGGCACCGGAAUAGCCCGGGGAAACUCGGAUUAAUGCCGGAUAGCCCCACAUCCCUGCGGGGAACGUGGGAAAAGGUAGCUUCGGCCUCUGGCCGAGGAUGGGUCCGCGGUGGAUUAGCUUGUUGGUGCGGGUAAUGGCCCACCAAGGCGACGAUCCAUAGCUGGUCUGAGAGGACGAUCAGCCACACUGGGACUGAGACACGGCCCAGACUCCUACGGGAGGCAGCAGUGGGGAAUCUUGCGCAAUGGGCGAAAGCCUGACGCAGCGACGCCGCGUGCGGGAAGAAGGCCUUCGGGUUGUAAACCGCUUUCAGGAGGGACGAAGCCACUCGGGUUAAUAG
rnacentral:rRNA from 1 species